GACGAACGCUGGCGGCGUGCUUAACACAUGCAAGUCGAACGGAAAGGCCCCUUUGGGGGUACUCGAGUGGCGAACGGGUGUGUAACACGUGAGUAACCUUCCCUUGACUUCGGGAUAACUUCAGUUAACUGGGGCUAAUACCGGAUAGGAAUCCUUGCUGCAUGGUGGUGGUUGGAAAGCUUCGGGGGUUUUGGAUGGACUCGCGGCUUAUCAGCUUGUUGGUGGGGUAGUGGCUUACCAAGGCUUUGACGGGUAGCCGGCCUGAGGGGGCGACCGGCCACAUUGGGAAUGAGGGAAGGCACAGACGGCUACGGGAGGAAGAAGUGGGGAAUAUUGAACAAUGGGCGGAAGGCUGAUGCAGCAAGGCCGCGGGCGGGAUGACGGCCUUCGGGUUGAAAACCGGUUUCAGCAGGGGCGAAGCUUGUGGUGACGGUACCUGCAGAAGAAGCACCGGCUAACUACGUG
rnacentral:rRNA from 1 species